rnacentral:rRNA from 1 species
UAUUGGACAAUGGGGGAAACCCUGAUCCAGCAAUGCCGCGUGAAUGAUGAAGGCCUUAGGGUUGUAAAGUUCUUUCACCUGUGAAGAUAAUGACGGUAGCAGGAGAAGGAGCCCCGGCUAACUCCGUGCCAGCAGCCGCGGUAAGACGGAGGGGGCUAGCGUUGUUCGGAAUGACUGGGCGUAAAGGGCGCGUAGGCGGUUUUUUAAGUGAGGCGUGAAAGCCCUGGGCUUAACCCAGGAGGUGCGUUUCAUACUGGAAAGCUUGAGUACGAGAGAGGAAAGUGGAAUUCCUAGUGUAGAGGUGGAAUUCGUGGAUAUUAGGAAGAACACCAGAGGCGAAGGCGGCUUUCUGGCUCGUAACUGACGCUGAGGCGCGAA